AUUGAACGCUGGCGGCAGGCCUAACACCUGCAAGUCGAACGAGUGGCGGACGGGUGAGUAAUGUCUGGGAAACUGCCUGAUGGAGGGGGAUAACUACUGUAAACGGUAGCUAAUACCGCAUACCAUCGGAUGUGCCCAGAUGGGAUUAGCUUGUUGGGGGGGUAACGGCUCACCACGUCGACGAUCCCUAGCUGGUCUGAGCGGAGGAUCAGCGACACUGGAACUGAGACACGGUGCAGACACCGACGGGAGGCAGAAGGGGGGAAUAGUGCACAAUGGGCGCAAGCCUGAGGAAGACAUGACGAGUGGAGGAAGAAGGCCUUCGGGGUGGAAAGUACUUUAAGCGGGGAGGCGUUACCCGCAGAAGAAGCACCGGCUAACUCCGUGCCAGCAGCCGCGGUAAGAA
rnacentral:rRNA from 1 species